rnacentral:rRNA from 1 species
GAGUUUGAUCCUGGCUCAGGACGAACGCUGGCGGCGUGCUUAACACAUGCAAGUCGAACGGAGAUUUUAUUUCGGUAAAAUCUUAGUGGCGAACGGGUGAGUAACGCGUAGGCAACCUGCCCCACAGCCGGGGACAACUUCCCGAAAGGGAAGCUAAUACCGGAUACGAACCGGGCAUCGCAUGAUGCCGGGUUGAAAGAUGGCCUCUAUUUAUACGCUAUCGCUGUGGGAUGGGCCUGCGUCCGAUUAGCUGGUUGGUGAGGUAACGGCUCACCAAGGCGACGAUCGGUAGCCGGUCUGAGAGGAUGAACGGCCACAUUGGGACUGAGACACGGCCCAGACUCCUACGGGAGGCAGCAGUGGGGAAUCUUCCGCAAUGGGGGAAACCCUGAUGCAGCAACGCCGCGUGAAGGAAGACGGUUUUCGGAUUGUAAACUUCUGUUCUUAGUGAAGAAUAAUGACGGUAGCUAAGGAGCAAGCCACGGCUAACUACGUGCCAGCAGCCGCGGUAAUUC